rnacentral:pre_miRNA from 1 species
AAAAACAAAUUUUCUGUCUUGCCCAGAGCUUUCGGUCCGGAUGUGGACCUUCUUCACCGAAAGCUCUGGGCAAGACAGAAAAUUUGUUUU